AUUGAACGCUGGCGGCAGGCCUAACACAUGCAAGUCGAGCGAGCGGCGGACGGGUGAGUAAUGUAUGGGGAACUGCCCGAUAGAGGGGGAUAACUACUGGAAAAGGUAGCUAAUACCGCAUACUAUCUGAUGAACCCAGAUGGGAUUAGCUAUUGGGUGGGGUAAUGGCUCACCGAGGCAACGAUCCCUAGCUGGUUUGAGAGGCUGAUCAGCCACACUGGGACUGAGACACGGCCCAGACUCCUACGGGAGGCAGCAGUGGGGAAUUUUGGACAAUGGGGGAAAGCCUGAUCCAGCCAUGCCGCGUGUAUGAUGAAGGCCCUCGGGUUGUAAAGUACUUUUAGUGGGGAGGCGUUACCUGCAGAAUAAGCACCGGCUAACUACGUGCCAGCAGCCGCGGUAAUAC
rnacentral:rRNA from 1 species